GGCGCGGUGGCCUAAUGGUAAGGCGUUGCUUUCCGGCAUUAAGAACAACAUCUUGUAUCAGGAACAUGGCAAAGAUUGUGGGUUCGAGUCCCAUCCGCGUCG
rnacentral:tRNA from 1 species